UUCUGUGAGUCCCUACUUAUGGUAGGUAACAGACCCUCGCCAUUGCGAUUAUCAUCCCUAAUCAGAAAGAGUUUUUGUUUGCGCGGGUUUACCCAGUUGAACAUAGCGCUAACCCAUUCCGCUAUCAUGCUUUUAUUGAAUUCUGCUUUCAGCAGCCAUCCUCCCAGAUGUGGCUCUUCCUGGAAGUGAGAACACUGCUGCCCGACCAAGGAAAUAAGGAGAAGAUUGAAAGGGUUAUGAAUUCCAUUGAGUUAGCCCUACUUGAUCGAAUCAGCCAGUCUCUUCCGUUCCGCCUGCGACCCCUUUAGAAUUCCAAUGUUGCUGGAAGUGGUGUGCUUGAACGUAGAUUGGGAAGUGCGAGAGAGCAGCCCCCGUUCUAACGAAAUUUCCUUCUUUCGCUGUUAAGCAAGUCCCCAUUCUAUUCGGCUGGCUUUCUUAGAAGCUUUUCAAGAUAUACUCUCUCUGUCUAUUGAAAUCCGACAGAGUCUUCUUCCUGCUUAUGCCCCGGGUGGGUCAAGUCUAAUCUGUCUUUCCGGAACCGCAGUCAUAAUGAAUUCUUUCAUUUGAAAAGAAGCCUUUCAAGAAAAGUCAAUAUAGUUGCAAGUUGCUCGAGCAGUGGGUUGAAGCCUGGAACCCUUAUGGGUAUGGAACCUUUUUUUCAAAUACUGGAUCUUGUGCUAGUAGUUCCUGGCUGUCUUCAAAGCGGGCCAAACACGUCUCUUAUUGAAAUAGGAGAAUUCGUGAACUAACCUGCUGAAAGGCCCGAUAUCUACUAUUGAAGUAAAAGAUCCUACGAGAGCAUUUCUGUCUUCAGACGUGGUAUAGGACUUCUGUUUCGCGUAAGUUUUUAUAUUAUCUUAUAUAUAUAUAAGAUAAGCGGAUUGUUGUGGAACUAGAUCCUCUGCUAGAGUCAGAGUUGUUGUGUAGCCAGGUUCACCUGCCCAAUGCCAAUGAUACGAAGAGCUAGCUUUGCUACCCCUGGGGGCUCAGAGAAAAGUCUACUUGCAUUUGUGUUGCAUGUGAAAAAGCUUUCCUGCACGCGGGAACCUUCCUUCUUCGAACCUUGAUGCUCAGUUCUGUUCUCCCGCACACCCGCUUUUGCAAGGCUAGCCGGGGGGGAGGUGCUUUUUCGGGUUUGGUUUGCCUAGAUAGGAAGUGCGCUUGCAGUGCUUCUAGUAACUAUUUUGAAGUACAAUAUAUUUCUGUUCCAGGGGUAUGAUUGCUUCUUUCUUCGGCUUAAAAGCUAGGGCUUGUGGUUCGUUAUCAGUACCUGUUUUAGAGCGAUAUAACCUCCUUGUCCGCCUCUCAAUGUCCGGGUCUUUCCCCAGCCCUCUCUCUCGAUGUGGUGCCUUUCACUCUGCUCUGUCAACACUUUAUCGCAAUGCCGAAAGGUAGGAUUUCAGGUCUUUUGGCAAUAGAAGGCAUAUUACUAAUUGAUUCUUUGGCCAUUUUGUGUUCGAAUUCUAAACCGGCGAGGCGCUGCUGGAUGCUUCUGAUCAAUAGAACACGAAGAAGAAGAUCAAAAAAGGUUAUGAUGAGCUUGAGUCGAGUCAAUAAAAAGCUUAUGAUGAGCUUGAGAAGAGAGAUGCACAGAGGAAGAGAACGAACGUCAGCUUUGUUUUUCUCUCUUUUGAAACGCAUUUUUCUCAGUCUCACUGUCCUUUUGCUUACUCCUAUCCUUUUACACUUUAAUUGGGACUUUUCUUUGGAAGCCGCUUUCUUUGCUCCAUUUCGUCAGCGACUUUUUUGAUUUUUGGCUUUCUUUGAUGGAUAGAAUUCCUCUUUCCGUCGGAGGCGAUGGAAGUGGUCCUAGCUUAUCGAAAAAACCUUCCUUUGAUCUCAACAUACCCUCGGUUGAACACCAGGUAUAUGAGCUCAUGGAAGAGGAAAUCAAAAGGAGAAAGGCAAAAUUAGCCGACCUCCUAGAACCUCUCAUUCAAAGAGAGGCAGAAAGGUAUCCCAACAUAAGGGAACUGCCUUCGCCAAAGGCCAUGGUCGAAAGGCUAAUCGAAAGCCUUGGAUCGGAUCAGAUAAAGCCAAAGAAGAAAACGAGGGCAAUGCGCCCAAUUUUACAAAUCUCAAAAAGUUUCUAACCCGGGCGCGUAAUAACGCGGAGGAUGAGACCAAGGGCAGUAUGGACAUCCGAGGUGAAAUUCGAGCUAUCCUUGAAAAGAUAGUCUAAAGCGUGUCUGGUAGUAUCUUACAACAUUAUUGAGUUGUCGGUAUUGGAAACGUCCUUCGUUCCUAUUUCUUGCUUUUUUUUCCGGUAUGCCGCUCUGUCAUUGUCUGAUUUUUGGUUGUCUGAUCACACUCGAAAUUAUGUAUCUACUUAUCGUAUUUUUACCCCUGCUCGGUAGUUUUGUAGCAGGUUGUUUCGGACGUUUUCUAGGAAAAGAAGGAACCGCUAUAAUAACCACUACGUGCGUUUCAUUCUCUUCGAUCUUCUCUUUGAUUGCUUUUUAUGAAGUCGCACCGGGAGCUAGUGCUUGCUAUCUAAGAA
rnacentral:lncRNA from 1 species